AGCGAACGCUGGCGGCAGGCUUAACACAUGCAAGUCGAGCGGGCAUCCUUGUGGUGUCCGCGGCCGACGGGUGAGUAACGCGUGGGAACGUGCCCUUCGUUUCGGAAUAACUCAGGGAAACUUGAGCUAAUACCGGAUACGUGCGAGAGCAGAAAGGUUUAUCUGCCGAAGGAUCGGCCCGCGUCUGAUUAGCUAGUUGGUGAGGUUACGGCUCACCAAGGCGACGAUCAGUAGCUGGUCUGAGAGGAUGAUCAGCCACACUGGGACUGAGACACGGCCCAGACUCCUACGGGAGGCAGCAGUGGGGAAUAUUGGACAAUGGGGGCAACCCUGAUCCAGCCAUGCCGCGUGAGUGAUGACGGCCUUAGGGUUGUAAAGCUCUUUUCUCCGGGACGAUAAUGACGGUACCGGAGGAAUAAGCCCCGGCUAACUUCGUG
rnacentral:rRNA from 1 species